rnacentral:lncRNA from 1 species
GGUGCAAGGGCUCUAAGAGUUGGCGCCUAAUAGGUUUCCUAAAGGAAGUUGUAUAACUUAAGUUAUUAGGAAGCCUAAUGCAAGUAGGAUUUGUAUUAUGAGAUUGAAUAGGAUUCAAUCCUUAUGUCUAUUUAAAAGAACCUCUCCUAAGAUCCUUAGGUAUCCAAACUAGCAGCCCACACACCAUAAAGGAGCCCCCCACGCCCUCUCUUCUCCUCCCCUUCUCUUCUCCCCUUGGGCGUCCCAUACAUCCUCCCCUUGGGCAUCCCUUUUCUUCAUGCCCAUAAGGGCCUUGGGUGUCCACUUCUUAUGCUGGUUCCUGAUGUUUGGUAGCAGCAUAAUCAAGAAAAAAAAGAUAAGAGAAGAAGAGAAGAAGACGAUCAAAGAAAGAAAUCAAAGAGUUAAUUGUGAUUUAGGCUUCGUUUAGAUUCGCAGGCUGAAUUUUCUUAGAGAAAAAAAAUUAAUUUGAAGAGGGUUGUUCUAGGUUGAUCCUGAGUGGAUACCCAUAGAGGUCGGAUAUUUGCACGGCUAAGAGAGAGCUUCUUCUUUUUCAGAUCCAGAUUUGAAGAAAAAAAUUAUGAAACAGAUAUGUGAUUCGAUCACAUGUUAAAUUUUAGUAUAUGUAUAAUUUCAAUAUAUGAAAUAGAUCCUUGUGGUUUAUAUUUUAUGCAUCAUGAUAUAGAUUAAAAGUAUUUUAAUCUAUUAUUCUAAAGUGAUAUUUAAAAAAUAAAAUUUUUGAAACAUACAUGUAUGCCCCGACAUAUGAAUUCCAACAGCAUGUGCUCAGCUCAUCUUGUGAGCGAAGCAGCAUGUGCACUUCUUAUUUUUAUAUUAGAGGCAGUAUGUACCCAUAGGCAGUGUGUGCAUUUCUUAUUUUUAUGUGAGAGGCAGCAUGUGUCUGUAAGCAGCAUGUGCACUUUUUAUCUUUACGGAGAGGCAGUGUGUGCCCAUAGGCAGCAUGUGUACUUUUCAUUUUCAUGCGAGAGACAGCGUGCACUUGUAGGUAGUGUGUGCACUUCUCAUUUUCAUACGAGAGGUAGUGUAUGUCCGUAGGCAGUAUUUGCAUUUCUCAUUUUUAUGUGAGAGACAGCAUGUGCCCAUAGGUAACGUGUGCACUUCUCAUUUUCGUGCAAGAGGCAGUGUAUGCCCGUAGAUAGUUGUGCACUUCUUGUCUUCACGCGAGAGGUAGCAUGUGCCCAUAGGCAGUGUGUGCACUUCUUGUGAUCGCAGAU